rnacentral:rRNA from 1 species
GAUGAACGCUGACAGAAUGCUUAACACAUGCCAGUCUUUGGCGAAGCUGUGCCUGCACAGCCUAGCCAAGGCGGACGGGUGAGUAACGCGUAAGGAACUUGCCCUGCAGUCAGGGAUAACAGACGGAAACGACUGAUAAGACCUGGUAAAGUCAGGCGGACUCAUGUCCAGCCUGAUGAAAAGAGAUGCUGCAGGAGAGCCUUGCGUCCUAUUAGCUUGUUGGUGGGGUAACGGCCCACCAAGGCGAUGAUAGGUAGCCGGCCUGAGAGGGUGGACGGCCACAAGGGGACUGAGAUACGGCCCUUACUCCUACGGGAGGCAGCAGUGGGGAAUAUUGGACAAUGGGGGCAACCCUGAUCCAGCAAUUCUGUGUGCACGAUGAAGGUUUUCGGAUUGUAAAGUGCUUUCAGCAGGGAAGAAAAAAAUGACGGUACCUGCAGAAGAAGCGACGGCUAAAUACGUG